rnacentral:rRNA from 1 species
CCUACGGGAGGCAGCAGUGGGGAAUUUUGGACAAUGGGCGCAAGCCUGAUCCAGCCAUGCCGCGUGUGGGAAGAAGGCCUUCGGGUUGUAAACCACUUUUGUCAGGGAAGAAACGGCUCCUACUAAUAUUAGGAGUUAAUGACGGUACCUGAAGAAUAAGCACCGGCUAACUACGUGCCAGCAGCCGCGGUAAUACGUAGGGUGCAAGCGUUAAUCGGAAUUACUGGGCGUAAAGCGUGCGCAGGCGGCUUUGCAAGACAGAUGUGAAAUCCCCGGGCUCAACCUGGGAACUGCAUUUGUGACUGCAUGGCUAGAGUACGGUAGAGGGGGAUGGAAUUCCGCGUGUAGCAGUGAAAUGCGUAGAUAUGCGGAGGAACACCGAUGGCGAAGGCAAUCCCCUGGACCUGUACUGACGCUCAUGCACGAAAGCGUGGGGAGCAAACAGGAUUAGAUACCCUGGUAGUCCACGCCCUAAACGAUGUCAACUGGUUGUUGGACGGCUUGCUGUUCAGUAACGAAGCUAACGCGUGAAGUUGACCGCCUGGGGAGUACGGCCGCAAGGUUGAAACUUAAAGGAAUUGACGGCUGAGAGNGCGAGACGACGACGAGGGAGGAGG